rnacentral:rRNA from 1 species
AUGGCCACCGCAUCCAUUUCCAGCGUCCUACUUCUUAUUCUAUCAGCCUUCUCUAUAGCUGCUCUAGGCACUUCUUCUCCGACUCCGGCCAACGGCAACGGCAGCGACACGGACCUUGCCGCGCUGUUGGCUUUCAAAGGCCAGCUUUCCGAUCCUCUCGGCAUCCUUGCCAGCAACUGGACCACCGGCACGUCUUUCUGCCACUGGGUCGGCGUCUCGUGCAGCUCAAGGAGGCGGCGCGUCACAGCUCUGCGCCUCACCUACAUACCCCUCCAUGGAUCGCCCGCUCCUCAGCUUGGUAACCUCUCUUUCCUCUCGGUCCUUAACCUCACCAGCACAAACCUCACCGGUUCAAUCCCUGAUUCUAUAGGGAGAUUGCAUCGCCUAAAAUAUCUAAACUUCAGGUUCAAUGGCCUCUCGGGUAGCAUCCCACCCACUAUAGGAAACCUCACCAGGCUUCAGGUUCUUAGCCUAGGCUUUAACAGUAUCUCUGGUCCGAUCCCGCUCGAGCUACAGAACCUACACCAUCUCAACUCCCUAUAUCUGCAACAUAAUUCCCUCGCCGGCACCAUACCAGUCAAUCUGUUCAACAGCACAGCAAUGUUGACUGUUCUAGACAUUGGCAACAACAGCUUGUCCGGAGCAAUACCGCCUUGCAUCGCGUCCUUAGAAAUGCUAGAGUUACUGGACCUGCAAGUAAAUCAUCUCGCAGGUCCGGUGCCCCCAGCCAUCUUCAAUAUGUCCAAACUGCAUUCUUUAUGGCUCGGUGACAACUACAACUUAACUGGCUCUUUCCCAACCAACUCAAGUUUUAAUCUACCAUCGCUAGAAAAAAUCAUCCUUCAAAACAACGGUUUCACAGGUCAGAUCCCACUGGGGCUCAUGUCUUGCCAGUACCUUCAAAUUAUUGCCCUUUCAAGCAAUUCAUUUGAGGGUCUUGUGCCAACAUGGUUGGGCAAGUUGACCAAUCUCCGUUACCUUUUAUUGGGUGGGAAUGAGCUUUUUGGUCCAAUCCCAGUUGCUCUCAGCAACCUAACUUCACUGUAUGCCCUAGACUUGUCAUUCUGCAAGUUGGAAGGAUCCAUUCCGGCUCAACUUGGACAACUUGGCCAGCUAUCCGAAUUGCACCUUGCCACUAGUCAUCUAUCAGGUGCAAUUCCACCUACCCUCGGCAAUUUAUCUCAACUAACUUACCUCGAUUUGCAAAUAAAUCCACUGUCUGGAUCCAUACCAUCAACACUUGGCAACAUUGCAACUUUGAACAUGCUUAUUCUAACGGAUAACAAUUUAGAGGGGAAUCUGGGCUUCCUAUCAGAUCUUUCCCGUUGUAGGGAUCUCCAACUCCUUUUCAUAGAGGGAAAUUCAUUCACCGGGCCCAUCCCUAACCACGUGGGAAACCUCUCUACACAGUUGAUCACUUUUCGUGCGGGUCGCAACAAGUUAACCGGUGGACUUCCAGCUACUUUCUCAAACUUAUCCAACCUUGAAUGGUUAGAUAUUUCAAACAACCUACUCACCGAGGCAAUCCCAGAGUCCAUUACUACAAUGAGAAAUCUGGUGCUUCUUAACCUCUCCGGAAACAGUAUCUUGGGCCCAAUACCAACACAAAUUGGCAUGCUCGUGGGUCUACAAAAGUUGUUUCUCCAAGGAAACUAA